CAGUUUAAUUUCAUUCCUUUUAAUUAUCUGAUGGUCAGUAUUUCCUUCUUUUUGCUUUUCUCCUUCUCUUUUCCCAAGGAUGAGAGAAGAUCUAAGGUCCCAAAUAUUUAGAAGUUUGUGGUGCCAUUAAUCACAGGAAGUGGGACACAUUUAGCUGACAGCGUCAUCUGGUUCUUGCUGGAGGUAUCACUGGAGCCAACAGAUAAGAAGGCAUAUGUUACGGGUUGGAUAUGCAAUGUCUGCCAAAAUCUCACAUGUGAAAAAAUACAAGCAUGUUCAGAG